GGUAAAAGCUUGAGCCAAACACUAAGUUUAUGCUUUGUUCUUUGACCUUGUGUAACUUUGUCUUUGCUCCUUUCACAGAUUUUGAAAGCCUAACCUUUGGCUCUAGGUUGCUGUGUACUGACUACGUCUGGAGAUUAAUCUGGAUGAUCAAGCCAAUCUACACCCUGUGGAUUUCAUAUCCUAUCUCCUGUCUUUGUUUGGAUUCGCAUCAAGCUGGCAGUUUCCUGCUCCCAUCGUCUCCUGGAUCAAGCCGUAAGCGUAACCUGUCCACCCUCCAACGUAAACAUCUGAACACAGGACUCACUCCUGUCCGCUCCGAGCUCACACAAAACGGCACCCAAGAAACCUUCUACGGACUCACCUUCGUUAAACCUGGAUCCUGAAUCUCUCUACCCCCCUGGCGUCCUGACCACAGCUACCUAUGAGAUUUUCGACCAUUACGUUCCUGAUUGUCAUCUUCCAAAUAACUUUUACUCAUUCUAUUCUCCAGAUUGUUCUCUGUAUGUGGGUCAGAUCUAUUGCAAACAAAAUGACAAGACACUAUGAGCUAGUAUUUUGAUAUAGUUGUACAAUGUGCACAGGUGAAGCUGAGUAAAACCCAAAUCCCUUUUUUAUUCUACUUAGCAGACUGAUUGCAUGAAGCAAUUGGCAACAAUUGCCUCCAAAGAAAAGUAUGCACCUGUCACUUGGCAUCAAAAUGGCCGCACAUGGAAGGAUGGUACCGCUAAGAAUAUUACACCACAAAUAAUUGCUUUUCUUGAUAAUCAAGGUGAGAUGUGGUGGUGGUGGAGGGGCUUCAGUAUGUGUAAGAGUGUGCAGCAAAAAUCCAAGGCUUUUUGUUGCUUGUGCAACACACUGGGGGAAACACUUUUUAAUAAUGGCCUUGUGAAAAUAAGGAGAGCAAAGGAGACAUCUUUUCUCAAAGACAAAAAUUGGGGACAGACUUUUAUAUGAAAUGCAAGGACAGGCAGCAGAGGAAUCAUAAUUUUCUUUAAUAAAUCUUCCUCUGACUUAUUUUGGAAAAUACUUUGCCCAGAGAAGAAAAAGUAAGCUGUGCCUUCACUGAAGCAUCCUAAAACAAUCCCUGUUUGGCGUUGCUUCUUUUUCAUGGGAAACAUGACUUUCCAUGUGUGACUAUUUCUUUUCAUAGUCACCUCUGAAAAGAAAAAUGGACAACUCAGUUUUAAUAUUAAGAAACAGUACAAGAUGAUACAAAGUAGAAAGAAAAUGCACCAAAAUUUUUAUGAGAAGCCACAGCAAUUACAGUACAGGAAGAUUUAAAAUGAUGUCCUACUUUAUCCACCUUUGCUUUUCUUCAUAUCUAUACCAGAGAAAUUAAAAAAAAUAUAACUGCUGAGGCUACAUACAUAACACUUGCAUCACUGCCACAACUGCACCUGUAUUAAAAACUGAGUUUUACAGCUGCAUUUAUUCACAUUCAGCUCACAACCUGCUCUGGAAGAAACCUUUAUGGAAAACUGUUUUUAGAUUACCAAACAUUCUCCUUUUAAAGAUUCAUGUCAAUUAUUUAAUGUUUAUCUCACUGAUUGGGCUCUUGUGUGUACUCUUGCAUGGCUAUUAAAGGCAUCAUGUAUUUUUUGUAUAUUUUAUAUGGAUGUGCUGGCCUAAUUUUGAGGGUUUCUAUAUCUUUCACACACAAGUAAGGAAUGAGAUAGCUGUAACAUAACAGCAUUUUCUAAUAUAAUAAAUCUGCUUUAUUUUCAGAAACUCACUGUAAAUUUCUGU